CGAGACCGUGCGCGCGAGUUUGAGGAGGUCCACGGGCACCACGGCCCCGGGACAGCGCUUCUCCAGGAACUCUUGGAAGCCCUGGACGCCCAUGCUUGGUCGGUGGGCAGACGAGACGGCGGCUGCGCGAGCAGGGCUGCAGCAGGAGCCAUCCUUCAUGUACCUUCAUAGAGAAUUUGGGAUUGAGCUGGAGGAGAGAUGAAAAAUCCUGGCUGCAUUCAAGCAUCUGAUGUAUUUGUUCCUAAGGCCCAUCUGCAUUAUCCCUGGGUUUUGUGAGACACUACCAUCUUUAUAAUAAAUUCCUCUUUUUGCUUAA